ACUAUUUUGGCAGAGAAAUGUAAUGAUUUUAGAAUUCAUAAAUAUAUAAUUUUAUUUAUAUAGAUAGUA
rnacentral:tRNA from 1 species